rfam:Rattus norvegicus chromosome 7, whole genome shotgun sequence.
UGGGGUUUGGCUCAGUGGUAGAGCGCUUGCCUAGGAAGGGCAAGGUCCUGGGUUCAAUCCCCAGCCCCGA